GAUGAACGCUGGCGGCGUGCCUAAUACAUGCAAGUCGAGCGAACGGACGAGAAGCUUGCUUCUCUGAUGUUAGCGGCGGACGGGUGAGUAACACGUGGAUAACCUACCUAUAAGACUGGGAUAACUUCGGGAAACCGGAGCUAAUACCGGAUAAUAUUUUGAACCGCAUGGUUCAAAAGUGAAAGACGGUCUUGCUGUCACUUAUAGAUGGAUCCGCGCUGCAUUAGCUAGUUGGUAAGGUAACGGCUUACCAAGGCAACGAUGCAUAGCCGACCUGAGAGGGUGAUCGGCCACACUGGAACUGAGACACGGUCCAGACUCCUACGGGGGGCAGCAGUAGGGAAUCUUCCGCAAUGGGCGAAAGCCUGACGGAGCAACGCCGCGUGAGUGAUGAAGGUCUUCGGAUCGUAAAACUCUGUUAUUAGGGAAGAACAUAUGUGUAAGUAACUGUGCACAUCUUGACGGUACCUAAUCAGAAAGCCACGGCUAACUACGUGCCAGCAGCCGCGGUAAUACGUAGGUGGCAAGCGUUAUCCGGAAUUAUUGGGCGUAAAGCGCGCGUAGGCGGUUUUUUAAGUCUGAUGUGAAAGCCCACGGCUCAACCGUGGAGGGUCAUUGGAAACUGGAAAACUUGAGUGCAGAAGAGGAAAGUGGAAUUCCAUGUGUAGCGGUGAAAUGCGCAGAGAUAUGGAGGAACACCAGUGGCGAAGGCGACUUUCUGGUCUGUAACUGACGCUGAUGUGCGAAAGCGUGGGGAUCAAACAGGAUUAGAUACCCUGGUAGUCCACGCCGUAAACGAUGAGUGCUAAGUGUUAGGGGGUUUCCGCCCCUUAGUGCUGCAGCUAACGCAUUAAGCACUCCGCCUGGGGAGUACGACCGCAAGGUUGAAACUCAAAGGAAUUGACGGGGACCCGCACAAGCGGUGGAGCAUGUGGUUUAAUUCGAAGCAACGCGAAGAACCUUACCAAAUCUUGACAUCCUUUGACAACUCUAGAGAUAGAGCUUUCCCCUUCGGGGGACAAAGUGACAGGUGGUGCAUGGUUGUCGUCAGCUCGUGUCGUGAGAUGUUGGGUUAAGUCCCGCAACGAGCGCAACCCUUAAGCUUAGUUGCCAUCAUUAAGUUGGGCACUCUAAGUUGACUGCCGGUGACAAACCGGAGGAAGGUGGGGAUGACGUCAAAUCAUCAUGCCCCUUAUGAUUUGGGCUACACACGUGCUACAAUGGACAAUACAAAGGGCAGCGAAACCGCGAGGUCAAGCAAAUCCCAUAAAGUUGUUCUCAGUUCGGAUUGUAGUCUGCAACUCGACUACAUGAAGCUGGAAUCGCUAGUAAUCGUAGAUCAGCAUGCUACGGUGAAUACGUUCCCGGGUCU
rnacentral:rRNA from 1 species